UACGUAGGGGGCGAGCGUUGUCCGAAGUUACUGGGCGUAAAGAGUGCGUAGGCGGCUUGACAAGUUGCAUCUAAAAGGCGGCAGCUCAACUGACGAGUGCGGUGCAAGACUGUAAAGCUUGAGGCAAGCAGAAGAAUGUGGAACUCCGAGUGUAGCGGUGGAAUGCGUAGAGAUUCGGAAGAACACCCAUGGCGAAGGCAGUGUCCUGGGUGGUCGCUGACGCUGAGAGGCGAAAGCCAGGGGAGCGAACGGG
rnacentral:rRNA from 1 species